rnacentral:tRNA from 1 species
GCCGGGGUGGUGGAAUGGUAGACACACGGGCCUUAAGAGCCCGCGAAGCUAAUACUUCGUGGAGGUUCGAAUCCUCUCCCCGGCA